AUGAUCGGCGACGAUGAGGCUGAUAUCGUAACAUGUGCCAUCCAGGCGCCCAACCUCCGUUUCCUCAGGUUGACCAUGUCCCUUGACAACGGAUGCCGAAUUGUGGGGGAUCUCCCAUUGCUGGAGGUGGCACAAAUUUCCAUUGAUCCCCUAUUCGGGACCCCAAACUUCAUCAACACUUUCCGACGAAUUUCUAUUGUUAAGAAGCUUUACUUGCACACCGACUCAGAUCAGACUAUGGAAAAUCCGCUGGAAAGGAUUUUAUGGACAUUCCAGAACUUGAGGGCUGUGCAACAGACUGCAAAUUUCGGCAAAUUCCCAAGCAUUAUGUCGAUAUUUUCUUCACUGAGAUUUGGUCCUCACAUUGAAAAACUCAAAAUUCAGGUAGUCAGGCCGGAAGUUGAAACUGAUAAUGAUGAUGCCAUCGACCAAGAUAUUCUUGAUGCAGUGAUAUAUGAUGACCUGUUUGCUAAUCUCAAACAUGUCUCGGUGGAUCAUCCGAAGUAUUUACCAAAUGACAUGUGGUUUAUGAAGUUUCUGCUAUCAAAAGCAGGGAUGUUUGAAUACUUUUUUGUCAGUUUCAACCAUGGAGAAGAAACCAAAGCUUAUGUGGAAGCAUGUAAAGAGUUGGCAACGUGUGAAAAUGCGUCUCCCGAAGCUAUGCUCAUACUAAGGCCUAGAGACAAGCCUACCCCAGAUAUUUAA
rnacentral:rRNA from 1 species